AACUUUCAACAACGGAUCUCUUGGUUCUGGCAUCGAUGAAGAACGCAGCGAAAUGCGAUAAGUAAUGUGAAUUGCAGAAUUCGGUGAAUCAUCGAAUCUUUGAACGCACAUUGCGCCCCUUGGUAUUCCGGGGGGCAUGCCUGUUCGAGCGUCAUUUCAACCCUCAAGCUCUGCUUGGUAUUGAGCCCCGCCAGCGAUGGCGGGCUCUAAAAUCAGUGGCGGUGCCGCUGGGUCCUGAGCGUAGUAAUUCUCUCGCUACAGGUGCCUGGUGCGCGUCUGCCAACAACCCCAAAUUUUUCUAUGGUUGACCUCGGAUCAGGUAGGGAUACCCGCUGAACUUAAGCAUAUCAAUAAGCGGAGGCU
rnacentral:misc_RNA from 1 species